UGUACACCAAUGCCAACGCGCCGGCCAAUGCGCCAAUGCAGUAUGACUAUGUCAUGUGUGUGCCUUUGGUGGUGUGUGCCGAAUGUGGUACAGGAAAAAGGGUAAAAAGGACCAACGAAUUGGAGCUCUUCUCUAUAUCGAACGAAUCAGGCAUCAGGCAGGCGAACACGAAACGCAGAGUACCAUGCAGCUUAUCGACACAUAGACAGGGAGCCAGGGAGGAAAUGCGGACCAGGAUUAUCCAUGGUAGUGUAAUUGAGACGAUUGUACGACAAUGCAAGAAAGCGACUCGUUAUUGAGAUGAUGCGCCUGGAAAGUCUGAAACCAUGUGAUUGGUAUGUGCCAUUCAUUAUUAGACAUUUUUCUGACGAUACAUUCAGAGCUUGGACCUCUAUUUCAUAAACUUCGUGUAUAAAAUGAGUGGAAUUAUGAGCAAAACAUCUAUUAAAAAAUUUAUUGUCACUCUUAUAAGGUAAAAUAAACUUUUAGAUAAAUGAGAAUCUAA